rnacentral:rRNA from 1 species
UACGUAGGGCGCAAGCGUUGUCCGGAUUUACUGGGCGUAAAGCGCGUGUAGGCGGCUCGUUUAGUCUGUCGUGAAAUCUCCCGGCUUAACCGGGAGGGGUCGACGGAUACUGGCGGGCUUGAGGGGAGCAGAGGAAGGUGGAAUUCCCGGUGUAGUGGUGAAAUGCGUAGAUAUCGGGAGGAACACCUGUGGCGAAAGCGGCGCACUGGACCACAACUGACGCUGAGGCGCGAAAGCUAGGGGAGCAAACAGG